AAGUCGUAACAAGGUUUCCGUAGGUGAACCUGCGGAAGGAUCAUCAUUGAAUCUUUAAACAUACACCUUUGUGAACUCUCGGCAGAAGCGAUGCCAUUAGGUAUCGUGUAUGACGACUCUUUAUGUCUGUGGUGUUGGCGGGACCUGUGUACGUGUCGGUCACCCAGUGACGGACGCUGCAGCCCGCCGACACUCGGACCCUGCUUAAAACACAAACACUAUACGAAACGACAAGCUAAAACAAUUUGUUUAGUAAUUAAAACAACUUUCAACAAUGGAUCUCUUGGCUCUC
rnacentral:misc_RNA from 1 species